rnacentral:rRNA from 1 species
UACGGAGGAUCCGAGCGUUAUCCGGAUUUAUUGGGUUUAAAGGGUGCGUAGGCGGUUUGAUAAGUUAGAGGUGAAAUGUCGGGGCUCAACCCCGAAACUGCCUCUAAUACUGUUGGACUAGAGAAUAGUUGCGGUAGGCGGAAUGUAUGGUGUAGCGGUGAAAUGCUUAGAGAUCAUACAGGACACCGAUUGCGAAGGCAGCUUACCAAACUAUAUCUGACGUUGAGGCACGAAAGCGUGGGUAGCAAACAGG